CAGACAUCCACAUGGUGCGAUGUGGCUCGUUUCUUCCGAGAUUCGCCGGCAGGCCCAGAGGAUCCAGAAAUGACCGUUAUGCAUAGACUUAUGCCCGGGACAGGCGAUUACACGCGCAGAAUGUAGCUCCCGCCUGCCUUCUGUGAACGGCCGACCGCGGCAUGAUUGCCAUGUCAAGACGUUGCGAAGAUCCAGCCAAUCUGUCCAGGUGUAAUCACGCUUGGAGAAGAGACAGCUGUCAUCCCACCAUCUGGGAACGUGGAAGGAUUAUCCAUCACUACCCAUGUCUGGUUGGAUGGAGUCAUGGCACACGUGGAAGGACGGUCCAUCACCACCCAUGUCUGGUUGGGUCAAGGCGCGGCGCACGGGGAAGGACGGUCCAUCACCGCCCAUGUCUGGUUGGAUGGAGUCAUGGCACACAUGGAAGGACGGUCCAUCACCACCCAUGUCUGGUUGGAUGGAGUCAUGGCGCACGUGGAAGGACGGUCCAUCACCGCCCAUGUCUGGUUGGAUGGAGUCAUGGCGCACGUGGAAGGACGGUCCAUCACCACCCAUGUCUGGUUGGAUGGAGUCAUGCAUGUGUUUUGAAUAGCAGAUUGUGAGUGGAAAUGAUGUGCUUUGCUUUUGAGCUAGAGCAUUUAAAUGCCACAUUGAGACACUCAGGACACCGUUUUUCCUUUCCUGUGCUUCUGGCUGACAUCUGCUCACCCGGUGUGUGUCUGGGAUCACAGCAAUGACACAGAGCAGAGCCCCCAAUUGGAAAAAACCGCUAUAAACUGCUAUGGCCUAAGGCACCAAUACAUUGGUGCUGCUUGUCACUGUGGCAUGGCCUCUUCUGCCCUGACUGAUACCAGCCACAUGCAUGGGAGCAGGGCGGCCAUUGCCAUGGAGACUCCAGGCAAGGUCACGGCUACAUGGCAAGACGUGCUCGGAUUCUGUAUAUAACGUAGGCAAAUAAUUGGCUGGUGCACUGGGGUACAUAUGUGAGAAACAAGGGAUCCUCGGUGAUUUGGGGACUUUUGACCAGAGCAUGUAGCAGAGCUGAUGUGCUAGUUUAUUCCCCGUGACCCUGGGAAAGGUACUGGUGGCGGGCCAGCAUCCUUCUGCAAGCACCCCCACCCUGCCUUACCUCCUCCGAGGACUUUCUCCCACUUUCUCCUGACACAAAGCUGGCCCCACAACAUGGACACAGAGCUACCAGGACUGCCCAGAACCGAGGGGCUAUGGGAAGUCAACACUGAACCUCCUUCCCCUCAGGGGAAUGACAUGGGGACACACAGAGGAUCCAGAAAUGACCCUGCACAUAGACUUAAUAUUAAAAAUGUUAAACUCUGCCUUCCUCCUCCUUGGCCCAAGCACUCAUUUUUUUGUUUUCCAUUUUAAGGAUUUAAUUUUUCCAUUAAAAUGUUUCUCACUGUGUA
rnacentral:lncRNA from 1 species